rnacentral:lncRNA from 1 species
AGAAGGCUGAGGGCUGGGUGCUCCUGAGAACGGGCAGGCCUAGGGCAUGGGGUGGGUCUCCUUGGUCCCUGGCACGUGGUUUUUCUUCUGGGACCCCUCCUCCCUGUGCAGGCCGGGCUCCCCUGGGGGCCCACACUGAGGGUCUGCAGUGUGGCACAGCAGCUGGGACCUGGGCCCCAUCGCUGUGAGACCCUCUGGUGACUGGCAUCCUGGCGAGAUGGAGAUGUCUUUGUCAGCUGCUGGGUGGCCUGUGAGUACGGCAUGGUGCACGUGGUCUCCCAGGCCGGGGGCCCCGAAGGCAAAGACUACUGCAUCCUCUACAACCCGCAGUGGGCCCAUCUUCCGCACGACCUCAGCAAGGCAAUGCCUGGCCGUGGUGGGGCUGCGGUGGGGACCCACUUGGUCUUGCUGAGUGAUCUGUGACGGCUCGCGGGGUGGCUCAGGUAUCAGGGGACAGCCAUGUCUGUGAGGACUCCGGCCCCGCUCAGAUGAGGCAGCCCAGCCCGUCGCCCAGGGUCCGGCUGUGGGAGCUGCAGUAGGGAUGGCUCUGCCUAGGUGGGCCGAGGCCGUGCGGGGCUUUAGGUGAGGGCUGGGAUCUAACUCAGCGCAGGCUUCAGGUGGGAGAACGGGCAGCUGGGCCCUCCUGGUGACUC